rnacentral:other from 1 species
CGGGUACUGCUGGGUGCGCCAGGCACUGCAAUCCCUGGGGCCAAUACCCGAACUCUUGGGAGCUGUCCCUUUCCGGACCGUGGUCCGGAAACAUGGCGCCCACCUGCUGACGCAGGCCACAGAGGAUCGGAACGCCAGCGGCUUCGGUGGUCCCGCC